rnacentral:RNase_P_RNA from 1 species
GGAGUCGGCCAGGCAAUCGCUUCCGGCCACGUGCCGGGGGAGGAAAGUCCGGGCUCCAUAGGGCAGGGUGCCAGGUAACGCCUGGGGGGCGUGAGCCCACGGAAAGUGCAACAGAAAGUAUACCGCCCCAAAGCGGCUUCGGCCGGCGGCGGGGUAAGGGUGAAAUGGUGCGGUAAGAGCGCACCGCGCGGGUGGCAACAUUCCGCGGCUAGGUAAACCCCACCUGGAGCAAGACCAAAUAGGAAAGCGAUGCCGUGGCCCGCGGCGCUUUCGGGUAGGUCGCUACAGGCCGUCGGUGACGGCGGCCGCAGAUGAAUGAUUGCCACGGAUUGACGUCUGGACAGAACCCGGCUUACCGGCCGACUCCCACU